rnacentral:lncRNA from 1 species
GGCGGCGUGGUUUCGUUCGCGUGUUCGCGAUUGACCACAAGCUGUUCGACCAUAAUCCUCAGUGAAGAUGCCACAUGGUAACUUGGUUGGUAAGUAGCUUUCAGCAACACAAGUUUCAAAUUUCUGGGACUGGAUAGUUAUGUGGUAAAAGUACGGGACUAGAUUUUAAAUUUUUAGAGGGACUAAGUUGAAACAUGGGAAAAAUACUAUGGGGGUUUUUGUUUGCUUAGCUGUAGAUAUAAUAGGUUCAAGAUUUAAACUUGCAACUGAAUUAGAGUAAUGGUUUGUUUUGUGGCACUUUCCACUUCAAAUUCUAUUUAUCGAUCAGUUAGUAUUAGCACAGCAGAACACAAAAUACGCUCUAUUAGACAUCCAAAAUUAGACUGAGUAGAAUAAAACGAGACAGCGAUGCUUGAGAAUAGUACGGGGUUAUCAAUUCGGAAAUGUCAGUGGGUGGGACAUGUUGGGUAGCGAGACUUCCCCGAUCCACUUUCUUAAGACUCCAGUCUCCGGUAGUAUUCGAUAAUUUCAUCCUGACUGAUUUAUUUGACCUAACUGGCUCCGUGUUGUGACUGCUGAUUGCUGAAGCAGCCAAAUUGCUAACAUUAUUUUCAAACAACAGCAAAGUACCGUAAAUUUCAUAAAGAUAAGCGAAAACAUCGACAAAUGGACACAAGCACAACAAUAAAUAUGCAUGAGCAAACAAAUUCACAAAAAUGAAGAUAAAAAACAAACAACCAAUAAUUAUGAACUCUAGGCUGUGGUCUUCGAGUCGGUAGUUUCAUAUCAUUUCAUUUCUCCUGUCAAAAUAAUUCUUGUUGGAAUCUGACCUGGUCUUAUCUCCACUUGAAAGUGUUUCUGUUGAAAGACAUUUCAUAUUCAUCAGUAAAAGAAACCGAGCUCACUCGAGGACAACAGAAGCAGAAGCAGUUUUAGCAUGUGACCUUGCAGGAAAUUUCAACUCGAGAACUUUGAAGCAGGCGCCGCACUUUAGCUUGUUGACUCUCUUCCUCGAUAGGACAAAAUCGACAGGCAUUUGAACUAGACUUGCGCAUUUCUCGUUGUCGCAGAUGAUAAAAGGCGCACCCCUUAAAAUCGGGCGACAGAAAUGUAUUCUGCGUGACCUCCCCGACUCAUUUUCAAGAACUGGCAGAGUCGCACUACUUGAUGGUUGAGAGAAUAAUUUCUGUGUAUUAGGCAUCGAUUCUGACCGCCAGACAUCCAGUCGCGGACGCGAAAUGGAAUUUCGGGGUAAGAAAGAAAUACUUCUGCGCCAAUGAUUCAGUCGAGUCGCGUCAUAUCUUGAUUUUUCAUUUUUAGUUCCAUGACUGCAAGUAUCAAAGAUAUGCCCCUCUUCCAAAUUGAUUGCAGCUUCUGUCGAAUGAAAAUCUUCAGAACCUGGCAGUGUUUCUCUCUCCACCUCACUGAUUCCGAAUCUAAAGGAGAACUCGUCUCUGCUCACAUCUGAGCUCGGCAAUUCAGCAGAUUGAAACCUCUCAUUUGACGAUUUCGAAGAAAGGAGCUCGUCCUCAAAAUUAGAUUCAAUAUCAGCAGUUGUCGUAUCAGUUCCUGAAGUACUUCCUUCUUUUCCUUGCUUCUCAUUCAUCAUCCUCUGUCGAAAAGUUCGUCUCGAUUUUACCUGUUGCCAUUUUCUCAAACGGCUACUGCUUCCAUCAUCAGACAAAGAAGCGCUUCCGUCGCAAGAACGAGGGCUUCUACUAGCUGAAGAUUUGAAAACCUCAGUAGGUGCGUUUCUCGAUGAGAAUUCCCUUGAUUCAUCGGUCAAUUUCGGUCCUUUAUUCCCAUCAUAUACAUGGAAGUUUUCAGUUUCAUCCACUUGAAUUGGGACUUUACCUUUUUGAGUACUAACAAAAGCAUUUUCAGAUUCUCUAUCUCCAUCUAAAUUUUCACCAGUUAUUGCUGAUUCUCCCUUAUCCUGAUGAUAACAACUCCCAUUUACACGCUCGACCUCCGAAAGAAGCGUAUUUGAUGAGCAAGAAGUACUCGUUCUUCCCCUCGAAGAGACUGAUAAAGUAUCUGGC